rnacentral:rRNA from 1 species
GACGAACGCUGGCGGCGUGCUUAACACAUGCAAGUCACGGGGGCCCGCAAGGGCAACCGGCGAACGGGUGCGUAACACGUGAGCAACCUGCCGAUCUGUGGGGGAUAGCCGGGCUAACGCCCGGGUAAUACCGCAUACGUUUCCGAGGAGGAGUCUUUUCGGAAGGAAACCUCUGGGGCAGAUCGAGGGGCUCGCGGCCUAUCAGCUAGUUGGCGGGGUAACGGCUCACCAAGGCGACGACGGGUAGCUGGUCUGAGAGGAUGGCCAGCCACAUUGGGACUGAGAGACGGCCCAGACUCCUACGGGAGGCAGCAGUGGGGAAUCUUGGACAAUGGGCGCAAGCCUGAUCCAGCCAUGCCGCGUGAGUGAAGAAGGCCUUAGGGUUGUAAAGCUCUUUUACCAGGGACGAUAAUGACGGUACCUGGAGAAUAAGCCCCGGCAAACUUCGUGCCAGCCGCCGCGGUAAU